rnacentral:rRNA from 1 species
UACGUAGGGACCAAGCGUUGUCCGGAAUCAUUGGGCGUAAAGUGCGCGUAGGUGGCCAUUUAAGUCCGCUGUGAAAGUCAGAGGCUCAACCUUUGAAAGCCGGUGGAUACUGGAUGGCUAGAGUACGGAAGAGGCGAGUGGAAUUCCUGGUGUAGCGGUGGAAUGCGCAGAUAUCAGGAGGAACACCAAUAGCGAAGGCAGCUCGCUGGGACGUUACUGACACUAAGGCGCGAAAGCGUGGGGAGCGAACAGG